rnacentral:lncRNA from 10 species
CGCGCGGGGGGCGGGGCCGGCACAGAGUCCACGCCCCGCGCGGCUCCCUCGCGUCCCGCGUCCCGCGUCCCGCGUCCCCUGCUCACCCGGUGGCAAAGCCGGCGAGGAGGCGGCGGCGCUGGUGGGGACUGACCCGGCAGUCCGAGAAUCCACCGCGGCCUUUUCACCCAACCGCCCCCUCCUGCGUGGGGGCCCCGCAUCCCCUGGACUGGCGUGGGCUCUGGGGCCCGAUGCCCUGGCAGCCCCGGCCAUCUCUGCCGCUGGCCGCGGGUACCUGCUCACCUGUCCACGCCGUGGCCGACCCGGGGAUCACCGACAGCCGGGCCAUGCCUCGAGUCCCGCCGCCCGCGCCGCUGCUCGGCUUCUCAGAAACGCACCUCCACGCCGCCAGCCGGGGCUCCAGGGUCCACCGCCCGGGCCCGGAGGACUGGCGACUCCCUCCGAGGUUGGGAGCGCUCCGGAUUUCUCCAACUUCAGGAGACAGGGUUGCGCUCUGUUACCCAGGCUGGAGUGAUCAUGGCUCACUGCAGACUCAACCUCCUGGGCUCAAGUGAUCCUCCCACCUUAGACUCCUGAGUAGCUGGAACUACAGGCUUGCACCACCAUGCCCAGCUAAUGUUUUAACUUUUUGUAGAAAUAGGGUCUCCUGGGCUCAAGUGGUCCUCUGUCUCGGCAUCCGAAAGUGAGCCACUGUACCCAGCCUGAUUUAUGUUUUUAAGAGAUGUCCUGGCUGCUGUGUGGAGAACAGAUGGAGGCCAGGCAAGGCUGAGGAGAACAAUUCAGAGCCUGGUACAACAGACUGAGCUAGAGAUGACGGUGGCUUGAAACAGAGCAGUAAUAAUAACGGAGGAGGAGAAAACUGGUCAGAUAAAGGAAAUUACCUGAAGGCAGAGCUGACAGGAUUUGCACACGGACUGGAUGAGGAACGCAACAGAAAGGGAGAGGUCAAGAUGACUCAGGCUUUCCACUUGAGCAACUGGGUGAGGCGAGGUGCCCCUUACUGAGAUGCUGGUUUGAUUUGAUUUGAAGCUUGAGAGGAUAAGAAGCUUUGUUUGGAAACACUGAGUUUGAGAUGCCAGUUGGCCAUCCAAGUGCGGACACUAGGAAGGCACGGGUUCUACUGUUGGUCUCUGAGGCGGAAUACUACACCUCGGGGGUUGACAAGAUGAUCCACCGGGUGGGAGCACGUUUCUACACCCAUGCCUACGAAUUUUCACCUAAAAUAAGAAACAAACGAAGCUCCUCUGGUUUAGAAUAUGGUGUAAGAGCAGCCUCCCAGCCAGUCUCCAUCUCUGUGAGGCACAAGACACAUGUGAGGAGCCAGGGUCGCCAAGAAAAGAGAAGCACUGGCACCCACAACUCGGGCGCAGGGCACUGACUGACUCUCGCCUCUCAAUACAUAGAGAAUAGUUACAGCUUAGCUAUGCCUGGGUAAUGAGAUGUCCUGACCUAUAUGAUCGUGUUUUUAACUAAACUAACCAUCACAAAAUAGAAAGCAGCUUUGAUGGAUUCCCGGAAAGAACACCCGACUGAAGGGCGUAAACGUGACGCGAGCCCAUGCGCACCACAGGAGUGUCCGUGGGCGCAUCUUCUGCUCCUAGCACAGCAGCCACGCGCGUCCGCACCACAGGAGAGGGCCCGUGGGUGCAUCUUCUGCUCCUAGCACAGCAGCCACCCGUGUCCACAGUGGAGCGGAGGUUUCCCAUCCAAGACCCCCAGUGGGUGCCUGGAACCUCGGAGAGUACCACACCCUAUAUACACUAGGGGUUUUCCUAUGCGUGCUUAUUCAUGAUAAAGUUUCAUUUAUAAAUUAGGCACAGCAAGAGAUUAACAAUAAUAAUAAAAUAAAACAAUUAUCACAACAUAUUAUAAUAAAAAGUUAUGUGAAUGUGGUCUCUCUCUCAAAGUAUCUUAUAGUACCGUACUCACCCUUCUUGUGAUCUGUCAAUCUGAUAACUGAGAUGACUACUAUGUGACUAACAUGGGGGAGGGUAUACACCGUGGGUACACAGGAGAAAGGGAGGAUUCAUAUCCCAGGCAGGAUGGGGAGGGUACACAGCGUGGGUACGCAGGAGAAAGGGAGGAUUCA